AAGCCUAGUGGUGGAGUGCAGCCCUGGCAGAGCUGCAAAAACCACAGCGAAAGUAGAUUUACUCAGGGUCCCCAGAACUCCAGGGGUCCCCACAGGCUCCAGCUUCAUCAUGAAGUUAUUUCACAAGUGGAUCCUGCCAAUGCCUAAAUUCUGGAAACCAUUUAGCUGGAGAACAAAGAGAAACCCAACCCCAAAAGAAAGAACUCAGAUUGUGAAUAUUUUGUCAUUCACAUGCAUUAUGUGACCUCAAAAAAGAGGUCAGUGAAAGUACAAAAAAACGACUGAAAUGUGUCAAAGAAGAGAGGACACAAGACAGACUUUCCUUCUCCACUGUCUACUUUAUUCCCAACUGUCUAGUUUAUGUACAGUCACCUGUGGGAAAACCAUCUUAAAAGAGAAGGAGUUAAACCAACAUAGAUGGUUUUAGUCAGUGGUGAACAUUAAAAAAUUAACCCAGAGCCACAGACAAAGUUUGAAUAUUAUUGGCAGUUCCUGCAUUGACGUACUGACACUGUGAAUAGUUGCUUUAUAGAUUAUGAUUAUGUGUUAUUGCACUCUAUAAACACUGUUAAGCAAUGUUCCUUAAUUUCAACAUAUUUUAUGCAGGAUAUUUCCUAAAAAAAUAUGUAUGUACGUAUAGAAUUUCUGUACUUUGUCUUUUCUUUUCAUUUUUGCUUUGUUCUGAAGGUUUCUGGACGUCACCCUUUGGGCAAAAAGCUACGAAAAUAGUUGACACAGCUACACAGCUAAAAGAUGAAAGUAAAGCAAGAAAAAGGAGUUUGUUCUUAAAAGAAAGUGAUUAUGGGGGUUUUCUUUUCUUCUUUUUAAUGUUGUGUUUACAAACAGUAAGUGACAAUUCCUGCAAAGUAUGCCUUUAAUGUUAAAAUGAAGUUGUAUGAGACAAUUUGCAGGAACAAAAUACAUUUUUAUUAAUUCUCUAAUCUAAGCAGUUGUCUACUACUCAUAUAGAGAAGCUGAGCUGUGGAGUACCUCAGGGUUCUUUCCUGGGUCCUACACUUUUCUCUUGCUUGAUGAUCCUUCUUUACUUUUUUAUACCUUAUUAAACUACUUCUGCAAGCA